UACGUAGGUGGCAAGCGUUGUCCGGAUUUAUUGGGUUUAAAGGGUGCGUAGGCGGCCCUGUAAGUCAGUGGUGAAAUACUCUAGCUUAACUAGAGGGGUGCCAAUGAUACUGCAGGGCUUGAGUACAGAUGAGGUAGGCGGAAUUGACGGUGUAGCGGUGGAAUGCAUAGAUAUCGUCAAGAACACCGAUAGCGAAGGCAGCUUACUGGGCUGUAACUGACGCUGAUGCACGAAAGUGUGGGGAUCAAACAGG
rnacentral:rRNA from 1 species